CGCAGCCGCGGUAAUUCCAGCUCCAAUAGCGUAUAUUAAAGUUGUUGCAGUUAAAAAGCUCGUAGUUGAAUUUCGGGAUCAGUAGGUUGGUCAUGCCUUUGGUAUGUACUGGUCUCACUGAUUCCUCCCUCUUGAAGAACUGUAAUGUCAUUAAUUUGGUGUUGCGGGGAAUCAGGACUGUUACUUUGAAAAAAUUAGAGUGUUUAAAGCAGGCUUACGCUUGAAUACAUUAGCAUGGAAUAAUGAAAUAGGACGUUUGAUCCUAUUUUGUUGGUUUCUAGGAUUGACGUAAUGAUUAAUAGGGAUAGUUGGGGGCAUUAGUAUUCAAUUGUCAGAGGUGAAAUUCUUGGAUUUAUUGAAGACUAACUACUGCGAAAGCAUUUGCCAAGGAUGUUUUCAUUAAUCAAGAACGAAAGUUAGGGGAUCGAAGACGAUCAGAUACCGUCGUAGUCUUAACCAUAAACUAUGCCGACUAGGGAUCGGAUGAUGUUAAUUUUUUAAUGACUCAUUCGGCGCCUUA
rnacentral:misc_RNA from 1 species